UAUGUCGGACUCGACGGUCUGCAAGGUGU
rnacentral:sRNA from 1 species